GGCGAAAUGCAACGAGGGAGACAAAAGGAGGAAAAAUCUGAGGUGGCGAGGGGCCCUCAAUGACCCUCGUUCAGCGUCCAGCCCAGCAGUCACUGGGAGACGCAACACCUCUGUGGAGGUCGUUGGCAAGAGGAAGGUCGCCACUGCUGAGGCAGGACCAAGCAGAAAGAGACAAAGACUGGUCAGUGAGGACCGGAAACAAGACAAACAAGAUGACGCUACAAGCUCAUCAGUCGAAGAUUCGUCAUCCGACGACGGCAGAAUCCCAAGAAAGAGGGUUCGAAGCAAUCAGGGCCUUGACGACAACGUCAGAGCGGCACUGCUCGCCCCGUGCAAAGGUCCCCAAAGCCCCGCGCAAAGCAUCAUUGUGACUCGAGCAACGGCGAAAUGCAACGAGGGAGACAAAAGGAGGAAAAAUCUGAGGGGGCGAGAGGCCCUCAAUGACCCUUGUUCAGCGUCCAGCCCAGCAGUCACUGGGAGCCGCAACACCUCUGUGGAGGUCGUUGGCAAGAGAGGCGACAAGAGGAAGGUCGCCACUUCUGAGGCAGGACCAAGCAGAAAGAGACAAAGACUGGUCAGUGAGGACCACA